rnacentral:rRNA from 1 species
UACAGAGGUCCCAGCGUUGCUCGGAAUUACUGGGCGUAAAGGGCGCGUAGGCGGGUCGUUUAGUUAGAGGUGAAAGCCCAGGGCUCAACCCUGGAAUUGCCUUUAAUACUGGCGGCCUUGAGUAUGGCAGAGGUGUGUGGAACUCCGAGUGUAGAGGUGAAAUUCGUAGAUAUUCGGAAGAACACCAGUGGCGAAGGCGACACACUGGGCCAUUACUGACGCUGAGGCGCGAAAGCGUGGGGAGCAAACAGGG